rnacentral:rRNA from 1 species
UACGUAGGGUGCAAGCGUUGUCCGGAUUUAUUGGGCGUAAAGAGCUCGUAGGCGGUCUGUCGCGUCGGAUGUGAAAACCCAGGGCUCAACCCUGGGCCUGCAUUCGAUACGGGCAGACUAGAGUGUGGCAGGGGAGACUGGAAUUCCUGGUGUAGCGGUGGAAUGCGCAGAUAUCAGGAGGAACACCGGUGGCGAAGGCGGGUCUCUGGGCAGUAACUGACGCUGAGGAGCGAAAAGCGUGGGGGAGCGAACAGG